AAAGAUACUGUAAAAGGAAAUCGCAGUCAAUAGUUAUAAUAUACUACACCUAGUUGUAAUGAGCCCCUUUUACCAAAAAGAAAGAAUAAAUCAUUGACAAAACAUAAGCAGCCUGAACAACAAUAUCAAAACAUCACGCCAGAACAUUUUGAGCAACAAAAUAAUAACGAGCAUCUUGCAUUGUAGAGAAAAUAUUCCCUUUAUUUUGGUUCAGUUGGGCCAAGCUUCUUACUUUAGCAGUUUUAAGAAAACCACGGUUUUCCCUUUUAACUAAGAGCAAAACCGCUAUUGUUCAGCCCUUCUCUUCCGUCUUUCGCCUCGAUCUGGUGAACCGUCUUUUCGGCUCUGCUGUAAAGAUUCGCAGCACUUGACAGUCGGCAGAAAAUUCGUAAAGCGCUUGUAUUGGGAUACGGUGCUUGAUGCUAAGGGAAACCGACAACAUUUUUGGUAACUGACACUCCGAUAAAUGCGAUUAGGAGUAAGAGGAGUGAUUUUGGAGCCACGGAAGAUGAAGGAACGAUGAAUUUUAGCGGUUUUGGAAGGCUGUUUUGUGAGAUUAUUGUUAUAGCCGAGGCGGAUGGCCAAGCGCGUGUAUCAAGUGUGGAAGGGGAGCAAUAAAUUUUUCCUUUGUGGGAGACUGAUAUUUGGACCUGAUGUUCGGUCUUUGGUUGUCACGGUGUUCCUAAUUGUUGUUCCUGUAGUAAUAUUUUGCGAAUUUGUUGCCAGGAAUCUUUUACACCGAUUUUCAGGAUAUAAUAGUGGAUAUGCAAUUCUAGUGGUGACAAUUGUAUACACAUUUUAUGUACUGGCGGUGCUGAUGCUUACCUCUGCUAGAGAUCCUGGUAUUGUUCCUCGUGCUCCACAUCCACCAGAACCUGAAGAUGUUAUGGAUUCUGCAAAUUCACCUGUUGAAUGGGGUGGUGGACAGACACCACGAUUAAGAUUACCUCGGACAAAGGACAUGAUGGUCAAUGGGGUGGUUGUCAAAGUAAAGUACUGUGAUACUUGUAUGCUAUAUCGCCCGCCACGUUGCUCUCAUUGUUCAAUUUGUAAUAACUGUGUAGAAAGAUUCGACCACCAUUGUCCUUGGGUUGGACAAUGCAUUGGACAGCGAAAUUAUCGCUUCUUCUUCAUGUUUGUUUCUUCUUCCACUGUCUUGUGCAUUUAUGUCUUCGCAAUGUCGGCAUUAUACAUUAAGUUCCUCAAGGAUGAUCACCGCAGCGUUUGGCAUGCUUUGAAACACUCUCCAGCAUCUGUGGUUCUCAUGGCUUACACAUUUGUCGCUGUUUGGUUUGUUGGUGGAUUAACGCUUUUUCAUCUGUACCUCAUAAGCACAAAUCAGACGACUUAUGAAAAUUUCCGUUAUCGAUGUGACAACAAAGUUAAUCCUUAUAAUGAAGGGAUCAUCAAUAAUUUUAAUGCAAUUUUUUGCACAAAGAUAAAAUCUUCUCAGAACAAGUUUCGUGCUAAGGUACAGGAGGAUGCAUCUACACAAAUGGGAGUUAUUCAUCAAACUGCAGAAAUUAGAGAUGUGGUUGGAGAUCUUCCUGCAAAAAUGAGUGUGGAUUUGGAAGCAGGUAGGAAAGCUGCAAUAGGAGAUGAAUUUGAUCCAGAAAGAGAAGCCUGCGAAGAAUUACAUAACCGAAAGAGCAAUGGUCAUGACCCUGCUGUGGACAUCAAAGAUGGCUAUGAGGAUGCUUUCACACGAGCUAUAGGGCAACCACUUUCAUUAGAGGGCACUGACACCAGAAUCAGAUCACAUCCUAGGAAGUCUAGUUGGGGCAGAAGAAGCGAGAAUUGGGAAAUCAUGCCAGAUCUACCAGCUCCAGCUUUAGGAGAUAGGACAUUGCCUGGAAAUAAUCCUGAAUUUGGAACUUACUGCUGCUGUGGCCUGCAAUUUUUUAAAACUAUGGCAUUAUGGCAGGGACAUGACUGGAAAAGCAGGGUCUGAAGACAAAGCUUCUUGAUGAUGGGAAACAAAUUUAGUAGGUACACAGUUUGCAACUUCAUGGAUACACAUAACAUAUUUACAUGGGCAGGUUUGGGGCUGCUGUCAAAGUUUGAGAGAUUGAAAAUUGGUUCUCCUUCAGAUGUAUAGCAACUUCAGUUUAUUCUAAUUUUGAAAGGUUUCAUGUUUGUCAUAGCACACAUGCCUCCCAAAACAUCUUAUAUCUGUUUGUGCUCAUCUGUGAGAGUCUACCUUUAGCAAUGGGUAUAAGCCUGCUACAAAUAGUAGUCUGAACCUACCAUUGCCUUACUGGUACACAUCCAUGAAUACGAAGAGACACUUUGCUAGAAGGGUGUAAGUUUUAACACAAUUAUUUUUUCCAUAGACAUUGCUACUGGAUAAAAAUGCACUUUUUCAAGCAUACAAGAGAAUCAUAUUUGCUUAUAAACAAAAAAUGUAAGACCAUUGCACAAGAAGCUGAGAUACCGCCUAAUCCAUUAGUGCAACACAUGGUCAAGCAUACAAGGGUUGGAUUUUUACAUACAAACAAGUGAAUGGAAGGUUAGUUGUGUGAGAAGCUAAGAUGACUGAUCUAUAAAUGCUUAUACGAUUGAAUCA